GUACAUAGGUCAAAACAAAAUCAUCGAGGGGCCCAUAUAUCAGCGUCUAAUCCAAGAAGGAACAGAUAAACUUUUACUCAUAUGUUUGUGACUCUAAAGCCUCAAGGACAACGAGAUCAAGCAAGUGAUUCAAGGUAAACUUCUAAUCUCUGAUUUCAUAUUAUUGUUAUUGUAUGUUAGCCAUUAGGAGUCUUGGAUUCAAUGUAUGUUCAAUUAGAGAAACCUUGAUCCAAGCAUUAGGGUUGCAUGUGCACAUAGGAAUGUUCAUAUGGCCAAAACCCAUCAAUAUUUUAGGGAGCUCUCUAAGCAUUCGUGCUUACCGUGUUAUGUGUUAUGUGUUAUGUGUUUCAGGUGCCUCGGGAGAUAGCAAGAAGGCGCCGAUAUGAUUGUACACACACACACACAAGAUGGAACAUGUUAGUGAUGGGUUUUGAGCAUUCUAACACUUUCUAAGUGUACAUGCAACCCUAAUAACCUUGGAUCUAUGUUUGUCUAAUAAUCAUGCAAAGUUGUUUUUCCAAGGUUAUGAACCUAUCUAGCAUACAUGGGGAACAAUUUUCUUUGUAUAAAAGAUAGAACUACAUACCUUGUUGAUGAAAGUGUUCUUUGAAACCUUGUGAGCCUAGCACCUCAAGUGUGAUGCCUCAAAUGCUUCACACAACACCAAAUGCAAAGUAUAAACUUGAGAGAAUACUCUAACACACUCAAAAUCAGCCAAGACCUCUUGUUUCGCUUGGUGUAACCGAUUUUUGGGAGAGAUAUGGUCUUUAUAUAGUGUGUUGCAUUAGGUAAAACCCUAAUGUAACAUGACUCUUCAUUUCUCAAUCAAUGGGUUAACUACAUGGAGCAUCCAUGGAGCAUCCUGUGGGUGGAACCCAACUUGAUAAUCCAUGGAGCCCUUUAGCCCACUAUACAAGAUAUGGAAGAUUUACAUAAUCUACCCAUGUAUUUAAUUAGUUAUCUUUUUGAUCAGUUAAUUAAUUCUAAAUUUAUUCUUGAUCAAAACUAAUUAAAUAAUAUUAUUUAUAUAUUAGAACUUAUAAUAUAUUAAUAAACCAUAUGUGUUAUUUCUCUCAUUUAGUUUAUCCAAUUGCAUGGUGCCAUGCGACCCAAAUGGACCAUGUCGGGUCGGGUCAAGUACAUACCAGAAAUAGUUAUGGACUUAGACACCUUAUCCAGCAGUCUCCCACUUGGAUAAGUCUAAUAACUAUAACGACAGUACUUCAGGAACCGAUCGGCAAUCGUAGCUUUUUCAAGGUCUCUCGGAAGUGAGAAGAUGUUGAUACGCCUUUUAAGAUAAGUGAUCAUAUAAUCAUCUGUUCUAGAUAUCAGCCGGACAACUGCAUGGAACAAUGUCUUACUUACUGUCCAGCAAUUUGUUUCUCGAUUUCUAAUUUGUUUGACAAAGAACUAAGUUGAACACAUCAAUUAGGUUCUGACUGAGCCCGGUACAUAGGUCAAAACAAAAUCAGCGAGGGGCCCAGAUAUCAGCGUCUAAUCCAAGAAGGAACAGAUAAACUUUCACUCAUAUGUUUGUGACUCUAAAGCCUCAAGGACAACGAGAUCAAGCAAGUGAUUCAAGGUAAACUUCUAAUCUCUGAUUUCAUAUUAUUGUUAUUGUAUGUUAGCCAUUAGGAGUCUUGGAUUCAAUGUAUGUUCAAUUAGAGAAACCUUGAUCCAAGCAUUAGGGUUGCAUGUGCACAUAGGAAUGUUCAUAUGGCCAAAACCCAUCAAUAUUUUAGGGAGCUCUCUAAGCAUUCGUGCUUACCGUGUUAUGUGUUAUGUGUU
rnacentral:lncRNA from 1 species